rnacentral:rRNA from 1 species
AGAGUUUGAUCCUGGCUCAGAAUCAACGUUGGCGGCGCGCUUAACACAUGCAAGUCGAACGAGAAAGUGGAGCAAUCCAUGAGUAAAGUGGCGUACGGGUGAGUAACACGUGGGUAUCCAUUCUUUGGUGGGGAAUAACUUUGGGAAACCGAAGCUAAUACCGCAUAAGUCCGAGAGGAGAAAGGUGAAAAUCGCCGAAGAGGGAGCCCGCGGCUGAUUAGCUAGUUGGUGAGGUAACGGCCCACCAAGGCGAAGAUCGGUAGCCGGCCUGAGAGGGCACACGGCCACACUGGCACUGAGACACGGGCCAGACUCCUACGGGAGGCAGCAGUGGGGAAUCUUGCACAAUGGGGGAAACCCUGAUGCAGCGACGCCGCGUGAACGAUGAAGCCCUUCGGGGUGUAAAGUUCUUUCGGCAGGAACGAUAAUGACGGUACCUAAGAAGAG